GAAAAUGUGCCCGAAAAUUAGGGACCUCCUUGAUAGGGAGACUCAUAGAGGUGUAAACCCUCUCAUUUUCU
rnacentral:tRNA from 1 species